CUCACAGCGGAAACUUUUUUUUUUUCGCGAAAACCCUCUUCUCCGUGCCCUCACCGCAACUGUUUUUUCUCUGCACCCUCUUCUCUGCAAAAAAACCAAAUCUAUGAAAACCCUUUUCUCCACGAAAACCCUCCUCCGCAAAACCCUCCUCAUCCGUCCUCCGCCCUCCUCCACUAAACCCUCCUCCUCCCUCCUCCAAAAUCUUUUUGUAGCAGAACUCUAAACCCUAAAUUCUCUCUCCGCCGUUGUCGAUCCAUUGUGUCCACUGCAGUAGCACCAUUGGUAGUCACUCCAAUACACUCACUGGCAGCCACCCAAGCCCUCUCCACAGAAAUGAACAUCACCCGUUGUCUUCUGGCUUUUUUAGGGACUGUGCACUAAUGCUGUAAUUCAUCUCUUGAUGCAAGGGAAGAACUCACAUAUUAUGGUCUUCAGUGAAGGUCUCUUCUUUAUCUAUGUGCUUCCACCAAUAAUCUUCAAUGCAGGGUUGCUACUGACGGUAUUGGUAGCGGUAUUGAGAAUGAUGUUAACGGCGAUAGUCAUGGGAAAAAAAGUGGUGAGGGAGAUGUUUAGACGAGGAGACGAGAUGGAUGCACGACACACUGUCCAGACGUCUUAGGAGUGCAACAAAGACUUGUUUUUCUUAUGUCUUUUUCACUGUAUAAGGAGUUGUAUUGGUACUUUCCGGUUCCUUUUGAUACUCUCUUGUUGGGAUGCUACUAUUAUAUUGGGUAUAGUGGUUCAUUAUGUUGGAUUA